UCCUCCCUCAAACCCCGGGUUUGGUGUUGGACCGCCGUACGACUUCGGUCAUACUGGUCCCAAAGACAAUGACGGCGUCCGUGGGACCCCUCUGCGCAACGAGCUUUCACGAGCACGCGCAAAAAGGACCCCGCGGGCCGGUCUCCCCCUUUUACUUCUAAA
rnacentral:misc_RNA from 1 species